CAACCUCAAUGAGCGAUUUACACAAUUACAUCUGGUAACAUAUUCAGUACUGCGAUACUUGUUUAGUGUGGUUUUAGUCGCGAUAAGUGCGUACAAAUAAAUAUGGCGGACCCGUUGUCUCUUCUUCGGCAGUAUAAUGUCAACAAGAAAGAAAUAAUCGAGCGUGAAAAUGAGAUAAUAUUUGGUGAAUUUUCUUGGCCGAAGAACGUCAAAACUAACUAUCUGACUUACGGGUCAGGAAAAGAAGGAAACGCCAAGGAGUACUACACGCUCGAGUGUUUAUUAUUCCUUUUGAAACAUGUACAACUCACUCAUCCGGUUUACGUGCGUCAAGCAGCAGCGGAAAAUAUUCCGGUGGUGCGACGUCCGGACAGAAAAGAUUUAUUGGCAUAUCUCAAUGGUGAGACGGCGAAUUCAGCAGCCAUAGAUAAGUCAGCGCCGAUCGGUCUGUCGACGCAGGUUAAACGAACAGCUGAAGAUGGUACAGAGAGUGGUUCCUCCAAAAAGCCACGUUUUGAGGAGACUCAUGUGCAAAAAGUGAAGGAACAAUUGGCUGCGAGGCUGGAUGCACCGAAGGAGGCUUCAGUGACGGUGGACAAUAUUAAAUCAUUGUCAGAGGCAAUGUCCGUGGAAAAAAUAGCAGCGAUAAAAGCCAAGCGUUUGGCUAAAAAGCGAACGACCAUUAAGGAAAAUGAUGACAUAGGAAUGGGCUCGGACUUGCGAGUAAUCCUUGAUCUUGAUGUGGACGACACGAAGGACAUUGUUUCGAGGGAAAGGCAAUGGCGAACAAGAGCGACGAUAUUGCAGAGCAGUGGUAAAGUAUUUGCCAAAAAUAUAUUCGCCAUAUUGCAGAGUAUCAAAGCAAGAGAGGAAGGUAGACAAAAAGGACCCUCCGCGCCGACUCCCAUGGUCACACCAAGAUCUACUCCGAUGAGACCUCUGCCACAACCAGCAGUUUACAAUCGUUACGAUCAGGAAAGAUUCAUAAGACAAAAAGAAGAAACGGAAGGUUUCAAGAUCGAUACCAUGGGAACAUACCACGGUAUGACACUGAAAUCCGUGACUGAAGGCACAAAUCCAGCUGUGAGAAAACCGCCCAUCGCGAAUCCAUCGACGACACCUACUUCUGGCUUAUUACCAACGUCUGCUGCUAAAUUAACUCCUCAACAAGCAGCACAGAACAAACGACCAAGCAGGACACCCAUCAUAAUUAUACCAAACGCCAACACGUCUCUCAUUACGAUGUACAACGCCAAGGAUAUACUUCAAGAAUUAAAAUAUGUUUCCAACGAGGAGAAACGGGCCUCGGGAUGUAAGAGGGAAAACGAAAUUUUACUCCAACGAAGAAAAGAUGGUGGUCUCACUGUGCCAUACCGCGUUGUCGACACACCCGCAAAACUGACCAACGCCGAUUGGGAAAGAGUUGUUGCCGUUUUUGUUAUGGGACCCGCAUGGCAAUUCAAGGGAUGGCCUUUCGACGGAAACCCUGUAGAGAUUUUCUCCAAAGUCUCCGCAUUCCACUUGAAAUACGACGAAAUGAAGCUCGACGCGAACGUUGCUCGUUGGGCAGUUACGGUAAUCGAAUUGAGCAGAGAAAAACGUCACUUAGACAGAGCAGCACUGAUGAUGUUCUGGGAACAUCUUGACAAGCACAUGAUCAAGAACAAACCGCACUUGCGUUUUUAAACAAUGACAAAUCAUCGUACACCAUUCAUCAUCUCUCGUAGACACCCUCAUUCGCACUGCGUGCAGUUCGGUUGGACGCAAGGGAUUCCUGGCAUGACCGGAGGCAAGUGAAGCAAUCCGCUGCGAUUCGUAUGCUCGCGCAAUUGUUGCUGGACACUCGAAUUGAAGUAGUUGUUGUACUGGACACUGAAU
rnacentral:misc_RNA from 1 species